rnacentral:rRNA from 1 species
GAGUUUGAUCAUGGCUCAGAUUGAACGCUGGCGGCAUGCCUUACACAUGCAAGUCGAACGGCAGCAUGAUCUAGCUUGCUAGAUUGAUGGCGAGUGGCGAACGGGUGAGUAAUACAUCGGAACGUGCCCUGUAGUGGGGGAUAACUAGUCGAAAGAUUAGCUAAUACCGCAUACGACCUGAGGGUGAAAGUGGGGGACCGCAAGGCCUCAUGCUAUAGGAGCGGCCGAUGUCUGAUUAGCUAGUUGGUGGGGUAAAGGCCCACCAAGGCGACGAUCAGUAGCUGGUCUGAGAGGACGAUCAGCCACACUGGGACUGAGACACGGCCCAGACUCCUACGGGAGGCAGCAGUGGGGAAUUUUGGACAAUGGCGAAAGCCUGAUCCAGCAAUGCCGCGUGUGUGAAGAAGGCCUCGGUU